AGCGAACGCUGGCGGCAGGCUUAACACAUGCAAGUCGAGCGCCGUAGCAAUACGGAGCGGCAGACGGGUGAGUAACACGUGGGAACGUACCUUUUGGUUCGGAACAACACAGGGAAACUUGUGCUAAUACCGGAUAAGCCCUUACGGGGAAAGAUUUAUCGCCGAAAGAUCGGCCCGCGUCUGAUUAGCUAGUUGGUGAGGUAACGGCUCACCAAGGCGACGAUCAGUAGCUGGUCUGAGAGGAUGAUCAGCCACACUGGGACUGAGACACGGCCCAGACUCCUACGGGAGGCAGCAGUGGGGAAUAUUGGACAAUGGGCGCAAGCCUGAUCCAGCCAUGCCGCGUGAGUGAUGAAGGCCCUAGGGUUGUAAAGCUCUUUUGUGCGGGAAGAUAAUGACCGUACCGCAAGAAUAAGCCCCGGCUAACUUCGUGCCAGCCGCCGCCGUAACAC
rnacentral:rRNA from 1 species